rnacentral:lncRNA from 1 species
AACCGUAAGCGGCGGUUAAUCGACCGUAACCGUAAUAACCGUAACCGUGGUCAUGCCUACGUCUGAGUCCUUUUUUUUUUUCUUUUUUUCUUUUCUUUUCGAUUUAUUGUGUUUUUAUUUGAAUGUGGGCUACUAAUAGUGAUGUUUCGCAUCAAAGCUAGCCAAAAAAAUAUUGCGCAUCAAAUUUAUAUAAUGAGUUUAUAUGAGUUUUUUUUUUUUUUUUUUUUUUUUUUUUU